UUUGGUAGUUUUAAUAGAAAAUAUUAUACAUAAAGGAUUUUUCUUGAAAAUAAGAAAAAAUCUAUUAUUAAACUUUGAUAUUAAUAAAAAAAAAAACAAACUUUCAAUUUAACCAAAGAUGGGAAAACGGCAUAUUCCCCAUGAACUUAAUUGCUUUAUCGUAGUUAUACACAAAACUUUGAAGUGCGCCUAAAACUACAUAAACUUAAGUAAAAUUUGAAUUUUCUACACAAACUAUCUAAAUCCGG
rnacentral:lncRNA from 1 species